rnacentral:lncRNA from 1 species
AGACAGCAUGGUGAGCAGAAAGACAGCAAGUGAGCAACUGAGGCUGUGACUCUGGAGAAGGACCCCUGAGGGUUAAAAAGACACACAGAAGAAGCAGUGUUGGCCAGGGCUUUUGGAAUCCAGCCACAUUCCAACCAUAAUUGAUGACAGAAUCUCAGUCUGACCCUGUUGAUUUCACUGAGAAAAUGACAGAAAGAAAGAAUAGAGAAGAGGAAAGGAAAACAGAAAUCCCAAGUCUAAGCUUUCUAUUUAGAUUCUUCCUGCCCUUCAUUUAAUUUAACAAGAGGAACAACAAUGAAGUGAGUCAGGGUUAAAGCUGGAUUUCAACAACAACAGAACAACAGAAAGCUUACAAACUUAUGGGAACUGAUCAACUCUCUACUCAAUGAUAAUUUGUUCAGAGAAGAAAUAAGAAAUUAAAAACUUCUAGAAUUCAA